rnacentral:rRNA from 1 species
UACAGAGGGUGCAAGCGUUGUUCGGAAUUAUUGGGCGUAAAGGGCGCGUAGGCGGUUCGGCAAGUCUCUAGUGAAAUCUCAGGGCUCAACUCUGAGUCUGCUGGGGAAACUGCCGGGCUUGAGUGUGGGAGAGGAGAGUGGAAUUCCCGGUGUAGCGGUGAAAUGCGUAGAUAUCGGGGAGGAACAUCAGUGGCGAAGGCGGCCCUCUGGUCCAGUACUGACACUCAAGUG